rnacentral:rRNA from 1 species
GAUCAUGGCUCAGAUUGAACGCUGGCGGCAGGCCUAACACAUGCAAGUCGAACGGUAACAGGAAGCAGCUUGCUGUUUCGCUGACGAGUGGCGGACGGGUGAGUAAUGUCUGGGAAACUGCCUGAUGGGAGGGGGAUAACUACUGGAAACGGUAGCUAAUACCGCAUAACGUCGCAAGACCAAAGAGGGGGACCCUCGGGCCUCUUGCCAUCGGAUGUGCCCAGAUGGGAUUAGCUUGG